GACAAAAGAAUUAUAGAAAUAUCUUGAAAAAAUCUAGUUAUUUGUACCACUUGGAACAAUCAAACUUUGUUCUGCCUAGCCAGAACAUAUGUUUAUAAAUCCCAUGUAUCUCAUGUAUGACAAUAGAGUGGCCGUGCAACAUUAAGUCAUAAUACCCAAGUACUCCUGAAAAGGACAAACAUCAUUCUUAUCUGACCGUAGUGAGCAGCAUUGUGCGAUCAAACCACCACAAAAUUAGAAGCAAUAUUUUAAACAGCAAGUCCUAAAAAUGUACGAUUGAAGAAAUGAUUGUAAAGAUGACAAUUUAAAGAAAGGAAAAAAUGAAAUAAACAUGAACGCCAUAUUCAGCUUUCUGUAGCUUUUCCCUAUUAGCUCAUGAUAAAUAGAAAGUUGAUCUCUGAAACUAAAAGUUAUAAAUUAAUCUCAUAAAAGAUUGCGAUAAAGCUCCACUGACCAUAAAGAGAUCACAUUUUGUAGCUAGAUUCCUAAAUUUGAUGGAUUGGGGGAAAGUAAGGGUUUCUCACAUAAUAAUCGAGGCAGAUUGACAUAACUAUUAUUGGUCUCCCGAAUAAUAUGAUCUUCAAAUAAUUUAUGUGUGUUCCAUGUCUCCAAGGGCUGACUUCUCACUCUUUUCAGUUUUCACCAUAGAAAUAGUUUCCGUGGAGCUCAAAGCCUCGGGCUUAGGAGAUAAAAUAAAAAUAAGUCAUGUUCUAUGGUCAACAAAACAAUGUGCUUCCAUAUCCAGCAACUUCAGCACGAAUAUUUUACAAAAUAAUCUACCUUGUUAGACCAUCCUGAACCCUAUGGAAUACAGGUUCUGCUAUGUUGGCGUUCGGUGCAUUUCAUACUUCCUGCAAAGUGGGCAGACGCAAAUCCUCAUACAUAUGAGAAUGUAAAAUGUUGGUUCUAUUGAAAAAUAAUCAAAGAUAAAUAGACUAACAGAUAGUAGUAGUAAACUACUGAUUCUUCAGACUAUCAUGAGCUCAUGAAAAAAUAGCAAGCUGACGAAAGUACUUGAAACUAAUGAGACAUGCAGACGUAAUACAGAAAAUGCAAUCUAUUUAAAUGGGGGUGUAUUAUUACCAGAUUACCAGAAUCUUGUCCUUUUGUUAAACAAACUUGUCUUCCCACGUCAACUACACAUCAGAGCAUUCUUAGCAACUGAAUCAUAGUAAAUUAUCCUCCUAUACCAACAAUGGUUUGAUAAAAUAAGUGGCCCAUCAAGAACAACAAAAAUCACUCCUGGGGUAUUGGGUCGUUGCUGGCUUGCUGCUCAUUUUGUUCGACCAAUGCCGUAUAUUGAUUACUUUCUUAGGAAAGCGAUUUCAACCAGUAAUUAUCUUGCAUCCCGAAGAAACUGAGUUUCAAUUAGCUUUCUUAUUGACCAAGCUAAUAAUUCAACACACAUAACAACCUAACUGAUUAAGUUUUACCUCUCCAUGUGUCUCUCAAUGAUCGGUGCCAAGGGGAUUCACAAAAUAGAGGAUAGAGGCAUACAGGAGGUAGACAAUGGACCUUUAUCAGGACAAUUACAGGGGCAGUUUCAGCUUCAGUUACGGAAUGGGGAUGAACACGCGGUACAGCUGCAAGGACAUGGAGGCGUAUGCAGGAGGAGGACGGCUGGCGAGAAGUCGACGGCAUGGGCGGCCGGCGCAGCCGCAAUGGAGGAAAGCUGCAAGACACGAAAUUAAAGGGGCCUGCAGAGGAAGAGAACAGGGCGAGUGGAGGGCACCGAUGCGGAGGCAGACGCGCAGCAGAAGCUCGCCGACGGGACGGAG
rnacentral:lncRNA from 1 species